GGGAUCGGUGAGGGGGGAUUGUG
rnacentral:miRNA from 1 species